rnacentral:rRNA from 1 species
CAGCCGCCGCGGGAAAACAGAGGGUGCAAGCGUUAAUCGGAAUUACUGGGCGUAAAGCGCGCGUAGGUGGUUCGCCAAGUUGGAUGUGAAAUCCCCGGGCUCAACCUGGGAACUGCAUCCAAAACUGGCGAGCUAGAGUAUGGUAGAGGGUGGUGGAAUUUCCUGUGUAGCGGUGAAAUGCGUAGAUAUAGGAAGGAACAUCAGUGGCGAAGGCGACCACCUGGACUGAUACUGACACUGAGGUGCGAAAGCGUGGGGAGCAAACAGGAUUAGAGACCCCUGUAGUCCCUGUCUCUUAUAC